CGCGUAGGCGGCCCGGUAAGUCCGUUGUAAAAGUCGAAGGCUCAACCUUCGAAAGCCGAUGGAUACUGCCGGGCUAGAGUACGGAAGAGGCGAGUAGAAUUCCUGGUGUAGCGGUGGAAUGCGCAGAUAUCAGGAGGAAUACCCAUAGCGAAGGCAGCUCGCUGGGACGUUACUGACGCUGAGGCGCGAAAGCGUGGGGAGCGAACA
rnacentral:rRNA from 1 species